rnacentral:rRNA from 1 species
UCCUAACCCAUGUCCUACCGGAAGCCUCGGCAGGUCUUCCACUUACCCUGAGGGGACCUACCCUGUAGGGACCUUACCCGGUAGUUGCCGGCAUAACCCGCCGGUGGUCUACUAAACUCUGUUUACUAUGUUAUUCUGAAUAAUAUAACUAAAUAAGUUAAAACUUUCAACAACGGAUCUCUUGGUUCUGGCAUCGAUGAAGAACGCAGCGAAAUGCGAUAAGUAAUGUGAAUUGCAGAAUUCAGUGAAUCAUCGAAUCUUUGAACGCACAUUGCGCCCAUUAGUAUUCUAGUGGGCAUGCCUGUUCGAGCGUCAUUUCAACCCUUAAGCCCUGUUGCUUAGCGUUGGGAGCCUACAGAUACCCUCUGUAGUUCCUUAAAGUUAGUGGCGGAGUCGGUUUCACACUCUAGACGUAGUAAAUUUUAUCUCGCCUAUAGAUGAGCCGGUCCCUUGCCGUAAAACCCCCUAAUUUCUAAAGGUUGACCUCGGAUCAGGUAGGAAUACCCGCUGAACUUAAGCAUAUCA